AUCAGUAUUUUUUUCUCAUCAUCCCCCUCGAUAUCAGUAUUUUUUUAGAUGACCCCAGAAGAGUUUUGUCAAAUGCACUAUAUUAUAACGCUUGGGUUUAUCUCGUUUUUAUAGAUCGAGACUAUCGAUCGGGAGCCUGGCCUCUUAGAGUUCGAUGAUUGGCUAGAGCCUGAUGACGUCACCAUUCGGGACACCAUGGCACUGUCGUCAGCAGAGAUGUCACGCAAUACCUGUAGUGCGCUUGGAAUUUUGAGUUUACACUUCUGGCAGAGGGUUUCAUGUGGGAUUCAUCCUCGAGGGAAAGCCACAAUUUCCAAGAUACUGUCUGUGUUGCUCCAUUCUGUGCUACUCGGGCCGUUAGUAGUGUUCUCGGUGGUUUUCGCGAUGCAAGGCGGGGAGGACUAGCAGCAGUUGGGGUGUUCACGCAUGCGCUCUUGGUAUCACUGCUGGUCUUUUCAUCUCUAAGCUUAUGUGUUGACGAGAAAAGAGUCAAUAAUUAUGACCGCGUUUUCAGGUAAAUAUAUUGUUUGCUCUAUAAGGAGGGCCUAAUUUAACUAGCGAAAGCAGCAGAGACCAGGAGGAACAGGUAUGUAACUGUAUAUCAUUAACGCCAUCCCUACGCUCUGAUUAGCUGUUUUUCAAAUCACGGUUUUGCUUUACUUUUGUAAAACAUUUCUCAACAAACAAA